rnacentral:rRNA from 1 species
AUUGAACGCUGGCGGCAUGCCUUACACAUGCAAGUCGAACGGCAGCACGGGUGCUUGCACCUGGUGGCGAGUGGCGAACGGGUGAGUAAUACAUCGGAACAUGUCCUGUAGUGGGGGAUAGCCCGGCGAAAGCCGGAUUAAUACCGCAUACGAUCUACGGAUGAAAGCGGGGGACCUUCGGGCCUCGCGCUAUAGGGUUGGCCGAUGGCUGAUUAGCUAGUUGGUGGGGUAAAGGCCUACCAAGGCGACGAUCAGUAGCUGGUCUGAGAGGACGACCAGCCACACUGGGACUGAGACACGGCCCAGACUCCUACGGGAGGCAGCAGUGGGGAAUUUUGGACAAUGGGCGAAAGCCUGAUCCAGCAAUGCCGCGGGUGUGAAGAAGGCCUUCGGGUUGUAAAGCACUUUUGUCCGGAAAGAAAUCCUUGGCUCUAAUACAGUCGGGGGAUGACGGUACCGGAAGAAUAAGCACCGGCUAACUACGU